UACGUAGGGGGCAAGCGUUGUCCGGAAUCAUUGGGCGUAAAGCGCGUGUAGGCGGUUCGAUAAGUCUGCUGUGAAAGUCCAGGGCUCAACCCCGGGAGGCGGGUGGAUACUGUCAAGCUCGAGUCCGGAAGAGGAGUGUGGAAUUCCUGGUGUAGCGGUGAAAUGCGCAGAUAUCAGGAGGAACACCAAUGGCGAAGGCAGCACUCUGGGACGUGACUGACGCUGAGACGCGAAAGCGUGGGGAGCAAACAGG
rnacentral:rRNA from 1 species